ensembl:lncRNA novel transcript, antisense to AATK
CCCCACACACGAGGAAGAGGGAACCAGGACGGCUUGGAGUGAGGACCAGACAGGGCCGUGGGGACAAGGAGGCAGGGGGCGGCCAGCAAAGCAAGACCUGGGUCACCGGGGAAGGAAACCAGCUCUGCCGCAUGUGGAGACGAGCCAACGGGAACACAGGCAGGGGCUCACGAGGCACUCAACAGGCCCCGCCCUCCAAAGCAGCCAGCGCUCUUCGGAACUGCAAGUUGCCAUGGUGCCCAUCUCCCAGGCUCCAUCUGGUGCCCGCCUGGCAUCAGUCCACACCCCUCUAACACCUUCGCCCAUGCCCUCCUGGCCCCUCUCCUGGCGGGCCCUUCCCUCAUGGGACACACUGGAUGAGU